rnacentral:rRNA from 1 species
UACGAAGGGGCUAGCGUUGCUCGGAAUCACUGGGCUUAAAGGGUGCGUAGGCGGCCCGCCAAGUGCUUUGUGAAAUCCCACAGCUCAACUGUGGAACAGCAGGGCAAACUGGCGGGCUUGAAGCAGGUAGGGGCUGGAAGAACAGUUGGUGGAGCGGUGAAAUGCGUAGAUAUCAACUGGAAUGCCGAUGGGGAAGCCGUCCAGCUGGGCCUGUCUUGACGCUGAGGCACGAAAGCGUGGGGAGCAAACAGG